UCAGAACAUAUUAUACUUCUCAGUAGAAGAACUUCCUCAAUCCAUCCUAAAGCCAAAAUGAUUCCCAUCAUCUCUCCUGCAUAAACUGAUACUCCACCAGUAAUUCUUUUACAUUUUUUAAUACUGAAUUCUGGAACAAUGAAUGACAUCCCAUUAUUGCUAUUUGAGCAGUAAUGGGGUGUCGUGGCCAGCUCUGUCUGUUUUCUGCUGCAGCAUCUCUUGAAACAGAAGCUGCAGCUCUUGAAGAGGAUGAAGAUGAGGAGCAGAUCUAUAAUGAGGAGGAAGGCUAGGAUGUCCAGGCUGUGGUACUGGUACCAGGAAUUCCUUCGUUCGCUCUCGGCGUUUAUGACAUCAUCCCUCCAGCAACGCCGUCCGCACAACGACCAACUGGACAGCGUUUGACUUCGGAGCGACCUCUGACCUCAGGGGUUACAAGUUAAGCGGGCACAUCGAGCCGUUCCUCUGUCAGGCCUCUGGUCAGCGGACAAAGGGCAAAGGCCUCGGAGCUGUCACUCCUGGAUCCGGGCGACGGCGCCUCGGUGUCGCUGGUGGCGGUCCAGGUUCGGGGAGGCGAG